rnacentral:rRNA from 1 species
CGAAUGCUGACAUAAGUAACGAUAAAGCGGGUGAAAAGCCCGCUCGCCGGAAGACCAAGGGUUCCUGUCCAACGUUAAUCGGGGCAGGGUGAGUCGACCCCUAAGGCGAGGCCGAAAGGCGUAGUCGAUGGGAAACAGGUUAAUAUUCCUGUACUUGGUGUUACUGCGAAGGGGGGACGGAGAAGGCUAUGUUGGCCGGGCGACGGUUGUCCCGGUUUAAGCGUGUAGGCUGGUUUUCCAGGCAAAUCCGGAAAAUCAAGGCUGAGGCGUGAUGACGAGGCACUACGGUGCUGAAGCAACAAAUGCCCUGCUUCCAGGAAAAGCCUCUAAGCAUCAGGUAACAUCAAAUCGUACCCCAAACCGACACAGGUGGUCAGGUAGAGAAUACCAAGGCGCUUGAGAGAACUCGGGUGAAGGAACUAGGCAAAAUGGUGCCGUAACUUCGGGAGAAGGCACGCUGAUAUGUAGGUGAAGUCCCUUGCGGAUGGAGCUGAAAUCAGUCGAAGAUACCAGCUGGCUGCAACUGUUUAUUAAAAACACAGCACUGUGCAAACACGAAAGUGGACGUAUACGGUGUGACGCCUGCCCGGUGC